UUACGUAAUAGUAUAUUACGAUACAAGUGCACAAAAGAGGUAAUUCGCAACGAGUGGCGAUAAAGAAAAAUACGACCGAAGGGAGUGUUUUUAAUCGACACGAGUUGCGAAUUACCUAUUCCCACAUCUAUCGUACAUUUUACAGUAGAUAUGGCCCUUAAAAUUUUCGACAUAGUUACGUAAUGUGCUAAUUAUCGCACUAGUGCGGUAAAGUAGCACCAUAUGUACUGUAAUAGUUAUUUACGAUACAAGUGCGGAAAAGAGGAAAUUCGAAACGAGUGGCGAUAAAUUAAAACACGACCGAAGGGAGUGUUUUAAAUCGACACGAGUUGCGAAUUACCUAUUUGCACGUGUAUCGUACAACGUUUUACAGUACAUAUGGCCCUUUACACUUU